GUCAAAACAGCGGCCUUCGGGCCUCGCUGCACCCUUGUCUUUUGCGCACCGUAUUGUUUCCUCGGCGGGCUUGCCUGCCGGUUGGACAUCAUAAAACCUUUUUGUAGUUGCAAUCAGCGUCAGAAAAACAAUAAUUAUUA
rnacentral:misc_RNA from 1 species